ACUGGCACGGGAGGCAGAGACGCGCGGUCCCGCAACGGUCGCCCCGACCGCGCUGAGCCACUGGCGAGACCGACCCGGAUCGGA
rnacentral:ncRNA from 1 species